GGGUGAGUAAUACAUCGGAACGUGCCCUGUAGUGGGGGAUAACUAGUCGAAAGAUUAGCUAAUACCGCAUACGACCUGAGGGUGAAAGUGGGGGACCGCAAGGCCUCAUGCUAUAGGAGCGGCCGAUGUCUGAUUAGCUAGUUGGUGGGGUAAAGGCCCACCAAGGCGACGAUCAGUAGCUGGUCUGAGAGGACGAUCAGCCACACUGGGACUGAGACACGGCCCAGACUCCUACGGGAGGCAGCAGUGGGGAAUUUUGGACAAUGGGCGAAAGCCUGAUCCAGCAAUGCCGCGUGUGUGAAGAAGGCCUUCGGGUUGUAAAGCACUUUUGUCCGGAAAGAAAUGGCUCUGGUUAAUACCUGGGGUCGAUGACGGUACCGGAAGAAUAAGGACCGGCUAACUACGUGCCAGCAGCCGCGGUAAUACGUAGGGUCCAAGCGUUAAUCGGAAUUACUGGGCGUAAAGCGUGCGCAGGCGGUUGUGCAAGACCGAUGUGAAAUCCCCGAGCUUAACUUGGGAAUUGCAUUGGUGACUGCACGGCUAGAGUGUGUCA
rnacentral:rRNA from 1 species